CCCUUAGAUGUUCUGGGCCGCACGCGUGCUACACUGAGUGGAUCAGCGGGUCAGGUUGCGCGAAAGUGUUUCCUAAUCUUGAAAUCCGCUCGUGAUGGGGAUUGACGGUUGCAAUUUUCCGUCAUGAACGAGGAAUACCUUGUAAGCGCGGGUCAUCAUCCCGCGCUGAAUACGUUCCUGCCCUUUGUACACACCGCCCGUCGCUCCUACCGAUUGAGUGGUCCGGUGAGGCUUUGGGAUCUGAGCGGAAAGAGCGUUUCGCUGUUUCUGCUCGGAAAACUCAGUCGAACCUUAUCAUUUAGAGGAAGGAGAAGUCGUAACA
rnacentral:rRNA from 1 species